ACCAAACACUUGGCCUUCCACUGAAGCCUAGCACACCUUUUUAAGCGGUGGCAAUGGCGGUGGGUAUGAGCGGUGCCUACCCUCUAAGCAAGGAAAGGGUUGUCCUUUGAUGAGGACAGGGCUCUUCCGGGUUAAAGGGAUCGAGGUUGUUCCCAAUCGCACACUCCUUCCAGCCUUCUUCCUUCUCCUUCCUCAUUGCUUCCAUCUGUGUAAAGAUCGACCCACCAUCAGCCAUAUAUUAUUUAGGAAAAGGAAGAGAGCGGUUACCUCUUUCUCUAGAAGCUCCUUUUCUUGCCUCAGCAUCCUUUCCUGUUUGGGACCAAAUAUACAUAUAUCUCCAUUAGCAGAGCAGAGCAAAACAAAUGUACGUCUUUAUCCAAUGCUGCUUUUUCAUAAGCAUUACAUUAUGCAAUGAAUGCCUGUUUCUUUAUCUAUAUAUGAGGGUGUGUUGUGACAUACUAAUGGUUCAUGUUCAUUUAGAUUUACAUUGAUGAACAUAUCAACUGUUUCGUAGUUUAUUUCUUUCAUAUGAAUUGGCUUGCAUGAUUUCCUAGCCGCAUCUCUGAAUGAUGAAUCUGAAAGCAUAUCAUGCCCUUUAUUUGUCAAGAUGUACCCAUUUUGGCAAAAUUUUCACAUUCAUGAUGUUCCAUACCAUGGAAGCAGCCCACUACGUAAUCCACUAUCUAGAACUGUGUAACUUUUGGUAUUUCCUGCAAUGCUUGUCCUGUACAUCAAUCCAAAAUUCUUUUGAUUCUCAUUCUUGGCCCAGGAGUGAUGUUGCAUUUUGCUUUACAAAAAUUAUACAUAGCUGUCCAAUGAAGUAGUUCAUAUGGUAAUGAUGCAUGGAAUAAAUCCAAGGUGUGCAGUAACAGUUCAAUCUACAUACUCUGAUUUUUAUUCAACUUAAAAUGCUCAAGUCUGGAUGGAUGCAUUUAGUAAUGUAUUUAUUGGUUCUAGAAGUAUGCAUAAUCCUAACAUUUUCCCCAAUCAGUGUUUGAUUGUAUAACUAGUCCUAAUAAUUUUUCUUAAAUAAGUGGCUUGAUGUAGUAUUGAUGAACUGAAGCACUCUCUCCUUUUCCAGCUUGCUUUAAAUAUGAAUCAUAUCAAGUAUAUCUAUAUUCUGAAUGUGUGUAUCCAGGUGUUGGGUAACUCACCUGAAACCCUGGUAUCUGAGUCUAGAUACGGGUAAUAAGUGGCUCAAUGUAGUAUUUAUGAACUCACUCUCUCCUUUUCCAGCUUGCUUUAAAUAUGAAUCAUAUCAAGUAUAUCUAUAUUCUGAAUGUGUGUAUCCAGGUGUUGGGUAACUCGGCUGAAACCCUGGUAUCUGAGUCUAGAUACGGGUAAUUCAUCAGAACACCGACAAUCAGGUGAUGGGUAAUUCAUCUUAACAAACCCUAGUAUUUGUUAAGUAUAUCUCGUUGAUACUUUGCUGGCUCUCUCUUUUAUCUCUCUACUGCAAUGCAUAGACCACCAUAAUCAAAAGCAGGAAACCUUAUUCCAAAAAUUUGGGGUGGGCUUUGGUGAUUUAAAACUGGAUCACAACUAAAUAUCACUCCUUUCCAAAAUAUCAGGAGGUCUAUUGGUGGCAGAGGAAUUGAAAUAGAUGGCCAUGGACCUUGGGUCAGAUAACCUCUGUUUGGGUCAAAUGGAGGAUUUACCGAGAGGCCUGAAACAGAGAAAGGGGGACACACCCCUAGCACACAGGAAGUAUACAAAGGGCUUGAAAAAAAAGAAACAAAAUAAGAGCCAACACCACUCUAGUGAGGCCCUACUCGAUCAAUGAAAUCAUACAAUGUCUGACAACCAGCAUUGCAAAUGAACUCCAAAGUCCAAACCAAAGAAAGAUGGACUGAAUAAGAGAAUUUUCGAAUGAUUGAACUGAAAGCUCUGGAACAUCAAAUGAUCUCUGGCUCUACUCCUGGCAUAUGCUCCAAAAUAAAGAAAAGAUAUAACCCACAUGAUUCAAAAUGAACACAAAGAUGUAACACCUUGAUGAUUCCGGCAUGGAAAAGGUUCUAGAGGAAAAGGUAGAGGGUGCAAUUUCCUAAGGUAGCAAUUUAAGACUUACACGGCAAAUUGUAUAUAGUGGGACAGUUUGUCACUUGUAUGUGUGCUUUGCCAAACUUCUACCUUCUUACUUUUUUCUGCCCUUUUUUUGGCUUAAAUUUGUUUGGGGAGUCAGGAUCAAGCUAAGACUUUCUGGAAACUGGAGGAAGAUGUCUCUCAAGUAGCCAUAUGUAAUGACAACAAACUUGUACUAGGGAAAGAUCAAGCCGUGGUGGUCUGAGCAGCCAACUAAUUAUAGUUUAGUGAAUUUAGACUUAUUUCUUUUGAUAAAAUGAAAAUGGUCUGAUAAAUAACAAGAUUGAAUUCAUGGCUUUACUCUACUCCCAAGGACUCACAAGAAGCUAAAGAUAAAAACAAUCUUACAAGAUUCUACUGAAAGAUAGCAUGGCACAAAAUGGAGUUUACAGAGAAAGUUUCAUGAGGGAAAAAAAGGUAUUACAGAACAAUUGCAUACCUUUUCAUGGAGAUGCCUUAUGGACUCCAUCAUUAGUUGAUUCUGUAUAAAUCACUAUUGAGUCAGAAGCACAAUAAAAUUCUACCAUAUAAGCUGUGAGUUCAGGUUAUGCAAAUUAGUAAUCUUCUAGAGGUAGGCAUAAAAAAUAAAAGUACAUCAGAUAUUGUAUUUGUUCAUUCUCACGAUGCAAUCAGCUAAUGAUGGUGGAGCAUGCAACCAUGUAUUGAAAUUCCAAACAUAACAUAUCAUGCACUGAUAAUAAGAAAAUAUAUGCACGUUGUUGAAGAAUCUGGUGGAUAUCUUCUAGUAAUCAUGGAAUGUAUUCUAUGGGGAAAGUUGACAAAAUCUCACAAAUAUGUGAGAAUUUCUAUGUAUAUUAUUUGUAGAAUAUUUAUUUGCUUUCCUCUGGUAGUUAAUCCUUUAUUUUCUUCUUGAUUUUCUAGGGUUGCUUGAUCUUAGUUACUUUUCCGAAUUGUAUAUCAUUUUCUUUCCUUUUUCAAGUUGUAUAUAGUGUUGUAAUUCCACAGAUUAUGAAUAAGAGAUUUUUUUUUAAUGGUAUCAAA